rnacentral:rRNA from 1 species
CAGUGGGGGAAUCUUCCGCAAUGGACGAAAGUCUGACGGAGCAACGCCGCGUGAGUGAUGACGGCCUUCGGGUUGUAAAGCUCUGUUAAUCGGGACGAAAGGCCUUCUUGCGAAUAGUUAGAAGGAUUGACGGUACCGGAAUAGAAAGCCACGGCUAACUACGUGCCAGCAGCCGCGGUAAUACGUAGGUGGCAAGCGUUGUCCGGAAUUAUUGGGCGUAAAGCGCGCGCAGGCGGAUCAGUCAGUCUGUCUUAAAAGUUCGGGGCUUAACCCCGUGAUGGGAUGGAAACUGCUGAUCUAGAGUAUCGGAGAGGAAAGUGGAAUUCCUAGUGUAGCGGUGAAAUGCGUAGAUAUUAGGAAGAACACCAGUGGCGAAGGCGACUUUCUGGACGAAAACUGACGCUGAGGCGCGAAAGCCAGGGGAGCGAACGGGAUUAGAUACCCCGGUAGUCCUGGCCGUAAACGAUGGGUACUAGGUGUAGGAGGUAUCGACCCCUUCUGUGCCGGAGUUAACGCAAUAAGUACCCCGCCUGGGGAGUACGACCGCAAGGUUGAAACUCAAAGGAAUUGACGGGGGCCCGCACAAG